AGCAGCCGCGGUAAUUCCAGCUCCAAUAGCGUAUAUUAAAGUUGUUGCAGUUAAAAAGCUCGUAGUUGAAUUUCGGGAUCAGUUGAUCGGUCGUGCCUCGGUACGUACUGGUCAAAUUGAUUCCUACCUUCUGACGAACCACGAUGUCAUUAAUUUGGUGUCGCGGGAAAUCAGGACUGUUACUUUGAAAAAAUUAGAGUGUUUAAAGCAGGCUCGCGCUUGAAUACAUUAGCAUGGAAUAAUGAAAUAGGACGUUUGAUUCUAUUUUGUUGGUUUCUAGGAUCGACGUAAUGAUUAAUAGGGAUAGUUGGGGGCAUUAGUAUUCAAUUGUCAGAGGUGAAAUUCUUGGAUUUAUUGAAGACUAACUACUGCGAAAGCAUUUGCCAAGGAUGUUUUCAUUAAUCAAGAACGAAAGUUAGGGGAUCGAAGACGAUCAGAUACCGUCGUAGUCUUAACCAUAAACUAUGCCGACUAGGGAUCGGAUGAUGUUAAUUUUUAAUGUACUCAUUCGGCGCCUUAC
rnacentral:rRNA from 1 species